ACAAAAUUUCAGUUAAUAAUAUAAGCUAUUAAAUUUGGGAUUUAACAAUCAACAAAAAUUGAAUUUUGA
rnacentral:tRNA from 1 species